rnacentral:rRNA from 1 species
AAACUCAAAGGAAUUGACGGGGAGCACCACAACGGGUGGAGCUUGCGGUUUAAUUGGAUUCAACGCCGGAAAUCUUACCGGGACCGACAGCAACAUGAAGGCCAGGCUGAAGACUUUGCCGGAUUAGCUGAGAGGUGGUGCAUGGCCGUCGUCAGUUCGUACUGUGAAGCAUCCUGUUAAGUCAGGCAACGAGCGAGACCCACGCCCACAGUUGCCAGCGUACUCUCUGGAGUGAUGGGUACACUGUGGAGACCGCCGCUGCUAAAGCGGAGGAAGGAGUGGGCAACGGUAGGUCAGUAUGCCCCGAAUCUCCCGGGCUACACGCGGGCUACAAUGGUUGGUACAAUGGGCAUCUACCCCGAAAGGGGAAGGAAAUCUCUUAAAGCCAAUCGUAGUUCGGAUUGAGGGCUGCAACUCGCCCUCAUGAAGCUGGAAUCCGUAGUAAUCGCGUUUCAACAGAACGCGGUGAAUACGUCCCUGCUCCUU